GGAGCUAUAGCUCAGCUGGGAGAGCGCCUGCUUUGCACGCAGGAGGUCUGCGGUUCGAUCCCGCAUAGCUCCACCA
rnacentral:tRNA from 2 species